rnacentral:rRNA from 1 species
AUGAUUUUUCUCACAUUUAGUGCAAAAAUAUUGAUGGCCGGGCACUAUACCGUGCAUAAACAAAAAAAUUCAGUUUUUCUUUUCGUGAUUGCAGCAGUUUUUCUGUACCAAUGGUGUGACAUAACACUACUCUUCACUUCCACAGGCAAUGGAACACUAAAUAACCUGGCAACGGAUACCCUGUGGUCUACCAUUAUAAUUAUGUGUGCAUUUUGGAUCUAUUGGAUGUCUGAAUGUAAUGCUAAUCGACAUUUACUGAUGCAAAGAUUUUGCAGGGAUGUAGAUAUAUAUGGUGAUGUUUCACUACGAUCUAAGUGUUUCAGUUCAUAUUUAGCAGGAUCACAUGUUGACCAAUGA